UUACAAGUUUUGUCCCAGCUUUAAUAUCAACUAUCAUCAACAUUAUACAUGCAAGCAUCUGCUAACCAGUGAAGAACGCCCAUAAACAGGAGCUGAUAUCAGGCACAACUAAAAUAGCCAACAACAUCUAGCCCAGCCACACCCCCAAGGGUACACAGCAGUAAUUAAUAUUAGUAAAUGAGCACAAGCUCGAACUAGGUACGAUAGUACGGGUCGGCCAAUCUCGUGCCAGCCGCCGCGGUUACACGAGAGACCCAAGUUGAUAACACACGGCGUAAAGUGUGAUAAAUAAUUUAUCCAUAACAUAAGACUAAAGCUAAACUCAGCUGUUAUACGCACUAGACAAUGCUAAAUACAAUUAAACGAAAGUAGCCUUAACUCAUAAGACCAAUUAAUAUCACGACAACUAAGUCACAAACUGGGAUUAGAUACCCCACUAUGCUUAGUUAUAAACUGAACAUUACAACCAUAUCCGCCAGAAUACUACGAGCAAUCGCUUAAAACUUAAAGGACUUGGCGGUGCUCAACACCCACCCAGAGGAGCCUGUUCUAUAAUCGACAACCCCCGCUAAACCUCACCACUCUUUGCAUCUGCAGUCUAUAUACCUCCGUCUACAGCUCACCCCCUGAGGGGAGACAAGUGAGUACAACUAACCAAUUAAAAACGUCAGGUCAAGGUGUAACAUAUAGAGUGGGAAGAAAUGGGCUACAUUUUCUUACUAAGAAAAUACGGAAAUACUAAUGAAAAAAGUAUUAGAAGGCGGAUUUGGCAGUAAAAAGAAACAAUUGAGUUCUUUUUAAACCGGCCCUUGAGCGCGCACACACCGCCCGUCACCCUCUUCAAGAUAUAAUCAUAAUUAAAUAAACCAAAUAAAAUUAAAAGAAGAGGAAAGUCGUAACAUGGUAAGCGUACUGGAAAGUGCGCUUAGAAC
rnacentral:ncRNA from 1 species